AUUUAAUAAUGAUCGCCUACGUGCCAGAGAGCUCAUUGUGAAACUGGAAAAGCCUUGAAUAACGUCUACUGAUAAUUCGGUGCUGAGCAAAAAUAUGAUAAACAGAAGAUAAUUUAUACAGUGAGAAGCUAGAGGAAAGAAAGGUUUGGAAGAAAUUGUGUUUUCUACUGAACAGCCAUGCAGAGAGAAGAUAAAAAAUAAAAGAAGGCUGAGUUCUGAGUUCAGCAUUGGGAUCAGUAGGUAUCUAGUUCAAAGGAAGUGUAUCGGGAUUUCUGUGUCGAAUAUGUUUCCGUCGGAACUUAAAGGUGAAAUAUUACAGAGCCCCCGUGAACAUAUGUAUUGAAAUGUUACGAGAGCUUGUGUACACUUUUAUUUGCGUAUGGAUCUAGGUGCAACGCUGCCUUCAUUCUUUGGAGAAAACCAGGAUAAGAUUUGAGUGAGCCAUUUAAGCCCCCUUUUUGACAGUACCAGAUGUGUCCACUUUUGUAGCAAACACAGAGAGAGAGAGAGAGAGAGAGAGAGAGAGAGAGAGAGAGAGAGAGAGGACCUCUUUUGCAGCCUUCCUUCCCAGAUGACAUACUUGCACAUUUAGUUUUCAAUCUCAGUAAUGUGGUCAAGUUUAUGCUGCAUGCAUUUCUUGCAUAUUCCCUUGGUGGAAAAUGUAAAUCAUCAUCUUGUUGCAAUGGGUUCUGCAACAACCAGACUGCUUGGAGUAGUUUCUUUCUAUCGCUUUGAUUGUUUUGCAUAAUUCAUGAAAGUUAUUUUGGCAUAUUUGUUGACUGGAUGAACUUCUGUUUUGAAAUCUUGGCUGUCUAAGUUUUGUCAAGUCUUUUUUGGCUAGUCCAUAUUUUGGUAUUACCCUUCAUUAAACAGAAAGGGUUUAGAGUUCAAAGUGUCACCCCCCCCCCCCCC
rnacentral:sRNA from 1 species